rnacentral:rRNA from 1 species
GAUGAACGCUGGCGGCGUGCCUAAUACAUGCAAGUCGAGCGAACAGACGAGGAGCUUGCUCCUCUGACGUUAGCGGCGGACGGGUGAGUAACACGUGGAUAACCUACCUAUAAGACUGGGAUAACUUCGGCAAACCGGAGCUAAUACCGGAUAAUAUAUUGAACCGCAUGGUUCAAUAGUGAAAGACGGUUUUGCUGUCACUUAUAGAUGGAUCCGCGCCGCAUUAGCUAGUUGGUAAGGUAACGGCUUACCAAGGCAACGAUGCGUAGCCGACCUGAGAGGGUGAUCGGCCACACUGGAACUGAGACACGGUCCAGACUCCUACGGGAGGCAGCAGUAGGGAAUCUUCCGCAAAGGGCGAAAGCCUGACGGAGCAACGCCGCGUGAGUGAUGAAGGUCUUCGGAUCGUAAAACUCUGUUAUUAGGGAAGAACAAAUGUGUAAGUAACUAUGCACGUCUUGACGGUACCUAAUCAGAAAGCCACGGCUAACUACGUG